CGAACGCUGGCGGCGUGCUUAACACAUGCAAGUCGAACGGUGAAGCGCCUUCCUUUUUGGUGGGUGUGGAUGAGUGGCGAACGGGUGAGUAACACGUGAGUAACCUGCCCCCUUCUUCUGGAUAACCGCAUGAAAGUGUGGCUAAUACGGGAUAUUCUGGGUCUGUCGCAUGAUGGGUCUGGGAAAGAUAUUGUUUCGGUGGGGGAUGGGCUCGCGGCCUAUCAGCUUGUUGGUGGGGUGAUGGCCUACCAAGGCGGUGACGGGUAGCCGGCCUGAGAGGGUGGACGGUCACACUGGGACUGAGACACGGCCCAGACUCCUACGGGAGGCAGCAGUGGGGAAUAUUGCACAAUGGGCGCAAGCCUGAUGCAGCGACGCCGCGUGAGGGAUGGAGGCCUGCGGGUUGUGAACCUCUUUCGCCAGUGAAGCAGGCCUGCCUCGUUUGUGGGUGGGUUGACGGUAGCUGGAGAAGAAGCGCCGGCUAACUACGUG
rnacentral:rRNA from 1 species